rnacentral:rRNA from 1 species
AGCAGUAGCCACGGUAAUACGAGGGGGGCAAGCGUUGUUCGGAAUUAUUGGGCGUAAAGGGUGCGUAGGCGGUUUGGCAAGUUUGGUGUGAAAUCUUCGGGCUCAACUCGAAGUCUGCAUCGAAAACUGCCGGGCUUGAGUAUGGGAGAGGUGAGUGGAAUUUCCGGUGUAGCGGUGAAGUGCGUAGAUAUCGGAAGGAACACCGGUGGCGAAGGCGGUUCUCUGGCAAUGUUCUGACGCUGAGGAGCGAAAGUGUGGGGAGCGAACAGGAUUAGAUACCCCUGUAGUCCCUGUCUCUUAUAC